GAGAUGGCCUGUUGUAGAGUGGCCUACUGUUCCUGUCGGGUGCGGAAGAUUAGGGAGAGUUUCAAUGAACCUGAUGAUUUGUCUGCAAGAAGUGUGAUUGCAAAUCCUAUUGGAUCACAUGGAUUGGUGGAGGAGUGAUUAAAGGCAGUGAGGAAUUGACAGGAGCCGGGGAGUGUGAUAGGCGGCAGUCUCAGGAUACUGCAGAUACAGUCAGGAUGAGGCUGUCACUGGCUCGGCCAGCAUUUAUUGCUGCGUUUACCCAGUGGGCAGUUAAGAAUCAACCACGUUGCUAUAGGUCUGGAGUCCCAUGCAGACCAGACCAGAUCCCAGUGAUCAGUGCCAAAGCCCCAUUGCCUGUGGAGAGGGUGAUGUUUGAUUUCCCUGUCCAGCUGCAGUUCAUGUGGUGAAGGUGCUCCCACAAUGUGGUUGGGUCACCGUUCAGCCUCUGAUGCUCCAAGGAAAGCAGCCUAUCCAAACCUGGCAACAUCCUAUAAUUAUUUUCUGACCCCUUUCAAGUUUGAGAACAUCCAUCUGAUCGGAAGGAGACCAGAAUUGCAUGGAAUAUUACAAAAGUUGCCGAAUCAAUGUCCUGUACAGCCUCCGUAUGACCUCUCAAUGCUGUGACCAAUAAAGGCAAGCAGACAAACUGCCGCCCUUCACUAUUCUAUCUACUUGCUACUCUACUUUCAAGGAACUAUGAACCUGCACUCCAAGGACUCUUUGUUUAGCAGCACUCCCUAGGAACUUACUAUUAACUGUAUAAGUCCUGCUAAAGUAUGUUUCGUGAUGUUUAACUUCUCAAAUUGGACUGGAGUUUAAUAUUCUGGAGAAAUGUCAAAUAAAUCGCAUUUAUCCCA